rnacentral:miRNA from 1 species
ACUCUGGCGAGGAUCCGCUCCA